GCGACCGUGGUGAAGUUGGUUAACACACCUGAUUGUGGAUCUGGCAUGCGUGGGUUCGAGUCCCACCGAUCGCCC
rnacentral:tRNA from 1 species